rnacentral:rRNA from 1 species
GACGGAGGGUGCAAGCGUUGUUCGGAUUGACUGGGCGUAAAGGGCGUGUAGGCGGUUCGUUAAGUCGGGUGUGAAAGCCCGGAGCUCAGCUCCGGAAGUGCGCCCGAAACUGGCGAGCUGGAGCGCGGUAGAGGAGGGUGGAAUUCCUGGUGUAGCGGUGAAAUGCGUAGAUAUCAGGAGGAACACCGGCGGCGAAGGCGGCCCUCUGGACCGUUGCUGACGCUGAGACGCGAAAGCGUGGGGAGCAAACAGG